rnacentral:lncRNA from 1 species
GAAUUGUUUUCGAUGGCCACCGUUUAAGUAAUUUUCUGUACACUUUCCCGAAGCAGCUGGGUUGAAUACUAUUAUGAUCGAAUCCCCUUGCAAAUCACUUGGGUUGGAUAUUUCCUUUUCAUGAACAAUGAGGUAACAAACUAUUUUUACUUCUGACUCCACUAUAUUUAUAUUAUUUACCUUACAAACAAACAACUAUGAGAAAGUUACAAAAAUGAUUUGUUUUUAUUUCAGUUUAUACUUUAUUCAACAUCUAUUCUGCUGCAAAUAUUUAUGAAAAGGAUCUACCCUCACAUAUUGAUCCGAAAUAAAAUUUGCUGUAUUUCUCUUUCACUAUAUUGAAACUAAAAAAAAUUCCCAUAAAAACCCGGUUCGAUGUUUCGGUAGCUUCAAUAUAAGCAUGUUCUAUAUGAGCUAAUAAAUUGUUAAUUACCCUUUGUCACUGACAUACAUGACCAGGGAGAUAACCUGUGUCUCACUCAUGUUUUUAUUUAUCAGAAACAUUCACAAAUGAUUGCUUUUUGUCAUGAAUUUCCCCUCUGAUUGGUUAAUUGCACAUGGAAAACUCCCUGACGUUUAAAGACUCUUCAUUACUUUUUAUAGAUAUAUUUUUUAUCGGGUUGUUUCUUAUUUUAGUAACAUGUCGAAAUGGCUCAUCAGUGAAAUGAAAAAUGGAAACGGCGAAAUGUACUUAGUUUCAAGUUUAUGCUGUUAUGUUCUUUAUGUACAUUCACUGUUGUAAUGUCAUAUACUUCUUUUUCAGUAACCCACUGUAAAUGAAAAUAAUACAGGUGUUCCAGCAGUGGCCAUCCAGUCAAUAUGUCGUUAAAUAUAGAGUUUAUAUAAAGAUAUGAAGCGUAUGUAUCUUAUAUAAAUAACACCAAGAUUACCUUCGUGUUAUUUCCAAUUAUAGUGUUAUUGAAACGGAAGUAUACGAUCUUGCAAUUAGUGUAAGUCAAGAAUGUAGCAGCGUAUGAAGUGAAACUAAGUAAUUUUAUAAUUUCCCUUUCAGAUUUUCAUUUUACUUGUGAAUCUUUACGAUGGAUUAGUUAAAUAUGAAAUAACUUCCUUACCACGCAUGUCGUAUACGCUUACCAACACAUAGACACGCACAAACACACGUGUGUCUAUGUGUAAAGUAUUAAAUCAUUUUACCGGCUACUAAAUUGUAAGUGGCUUCUUGAUGCAUCAUAUUGGAUAUGAAAAUUUUUUGUUUGUUUAAAAUUGUUAUUUUUGGAUUAUUGAAAACCACCACAAUUGCUGGUGACAUUUCUGUUGUCAGUGAUGUAGUUCAUGCGAAAAUAUUCUCUGGAAGAUCAUUUUUAUCAGAGCAAGCAAGUUAUGUGACUAACAUCAAAAUAUUUUUUGCGUCUAAAUACGAGAUAUUGCGUUUAAGUAUUUAGAAUAUAUGAUAAUAUUAAUGGAGUAAACAAUUACCAGCCUUACAAUACCCUAUUCGUUUUAUCACGAUCUGAAUACAACUAUAACUAUGAUUGUAUCGUUAUUCGGGAGACUAUAUUCCCCCACCCCACCCUAAAUAAAAGGAAAUAACACCGAAAACCGUUUAUUAUUGUUAAUAUUUUUAGUAUAUGAAUAAAUAAAGAGAUCACUUUGUAGUAACAUAACUAAUUUUUUCUUAUACAUGUUGUAAUUAAAGUAUUUCCGAAUUGCUCAGCGUGUUGCUAGAGAGGGUGUAACGACAUGUACAUUUGGGAUCAGAUAUAAUCGACCUUACUCCCUCCUCUAAAUUUAACGCUCUGGUUGAAAGCCUUACUUUUCAGUUUUCGGCUAUGAAAAGCUUGCCGCUUACCCUAAGUAUACGCUGUCGGACCAAAUCCGAAACCAUGUGGUUGCCAAACAAAAUUCUUAAUCACACAGUGAUGACUGCACAUUCACACACACAUGUAUGUAUUCUUAUAGAUGAAUAUACCUAUGGAAAAAGGCAUCAUCCUUAUGCGUUCAUUUGGUUGUAUAGGUAAUCUCAUGCAGUUACAUGUAUACAAUUGUUCAUGGUAGAAACAGACUAGAAAAUUCGAACAAAUAUCUAUAGUAGCAUAGUCUCCUCAGUCGUACACUUCCCAACAUAUUCGGUUUAAAAUUUCUUAAUAGACAUCUAAUAACACCAAUUCAACUACAAAAACUGUUUCCCUACAUCCAGCCAAAUUAAAUCUCCUUACCAUAGCUUUGUAUCAACCCACAUUCUAUAAACAUACUUUCUUCCUAUCCCUCUCUAACCUUCCUUCCUACACAAUUAGUAGUCACCUGCAUCACACUAUCAUUCACGUAGUACCCGACCUUACUAAAACUUGCCAAAGACUAUAUAAAGCUACUGCCUCCUGCCCCAAUAAAUCACAGCUUGAUGAAAUUGAGCAAGUCAAAAUUUCGAAGUCACUUUGUAAAAAUUAAUAUGUACUCUAGCAAAAAAAAAAAAAAAAUAUCGAGUAAUGUUAAAUUGUCUAUGACUUGACAUAAAAACAGCAUUAAUAUUCUUUUACUUGUUUCAGUCAUUUUACUGUGGCCAUGCUGGAGCACCGCCUUGAAGGGUUUUAGUCAAACAAAUCUACUCCAAGACUUUUGUUUUAAAGCUUAGUACUUAUUCUAUUUGUAUCUUUUGUUGAACUCCUAAGUUAUGGGGAAGUAAACAUACCAACACCGGUUGUCAAACGGUACUGGGGAGACGGGACAAACACACACACAAACACAUGACAGGCUUCUUUCAGUUUUUGUCUAGUAGAAGACACUUUCCAAGGUACCAUGCAGUGGGACUGAGUUUGGAACCAUGUGACUGGGAAGCAAGCUUCUUUAUUUCUUUUAAAUUGUCAUAAAGGCAUUACAUAGAGGGGGACAUAUAACAAUAAAAAUAAAAAUAUGAUGCUAUGAAUGACACAUGAAAAUGAACAUGAAAAACAUUAAAAUCAAAAUAUUAAAAUACAUGAACAAUAAAUGAGAAAUGAGAAUAUGAAAAUGUGUUUGUUACUCACCGGACACUGAAUAACACCACUCGCCACCUCUGAGUCCUGAGUCCUCUUUAGUCUUUGAUCUAGUCUUUCAUUUACUGUUUUCCCCAUCGCUGAGUGACAACAGUCUCUCCUCCAUGUACCCCGUAACCUUUUUCACUGGGAGAGGGGUCUUGUAAAUUUUGUGGUGUCAGUCCUUUUUUUUUUCCUGUGGGGAGAGAGAGUAGGUGGGUUUGUUGUUUGCAUGGGGAGGGUGGGUCUGAGUGGUCUUGGGUAGGAUGGAGUUGGUCUGGGGUUCCACAUCGCACUGUUCUUCCUCUUCUUUCUCUUUUUCUUUUAUUCUCUGUCACUGUCCAUUCAUCCUCCUUGUUCCUUCCAUCUAUUUGUACUUCUUCCUUUUUAUCUCCACCACUGCUUCUACUGUUGUUUUUCUCUGCAGAGGGCAGUGCGCUCUAAUGAGGCCCUUUUGGCCACGUUUAAAACAUCGUGGGAUUCUGCCCUCCACCCACACUCUUAACACAAUCUCUCCCAACAUCAUCGUCUCUGCCAAACUUUCCAAAUGCCUCUCCUCUGCCUGUAUAAUGAGGUCCAGUGUUUUUCCUCUCCACCCUCUUUCCUCUGUUUCUGUUGCUUGGAGGACAGCUACCUCCUCCUCACUUCCAAUGAGGACAGUUGCCGCAACCCAAGCCACUUCUAUAUCGGGUGGAAUUCCUUCUACCCUCACCUUAGAAGUCUUUCUUCCAAGGUAUGUGGGUAGAAGUACCAUUUCCUCCAUUUUUAUAGUUGCACUCGCCAGCCUCCUUGCCUCCUCCGCUGUCCUAAACUGGACAACCACCAUCCCAUAUCCAUUUCCUUUUGCUAUGUAUGACACUUCCUUCGAAAGGCCCUUCAAUGCUUUUUCUACUUUUUCCAUCUCCAUCCACUCCACCUUCCUACUCUCCACUGAGUACACCUUUCCAUAUUUUCCAUAACCCUUUUUGGGGGUAAUAACUUUAUGUCCUGUGUCAUCUUACACAGUUCCUUCAGUCCGGCUAGGUCCACCUCUCUUUUCUUCACCUCUGCAACCUCAGUAAAACUCUUUACUCUUUACUCAUUCUAUUUACUACCUUAACAAGCUCCUCCUCCACUGAGGACAGCUCAUAUUCACUAAGGUCCAAAUACAUUCCUUUCCACUGGAAUAACACUCACCAACAAACUGCUGCCAAGCAGCACAAAAAAUUCUGUCCGACUCGUCAAAAAUCAACACAGCGAAUAGACCGAUACAUGCGUGGGAAACAAGCUUCUUAUCAUACAGCCACGCUUGCACCUAUAAAUUUACAAAAUCUACCAAAAAAUGUAUACACACUUCAGGAAUGGAAAAAUCUUUAUGAAUAUUUAACCUGUAUAAGUAUCUCUGUAAAUAUAAAUACCUCUUCCGAUGUUUUAUUUAAUUGCAAUAACACUGAAUAAAAAUAUUUAUGCAGAUUUUUCCACAGCAACCCUCAAGCAGCAUGGCGGUCAGUUUAAAGGAGGGUAUGGGUGUCCAUUAAGACAGGAAAGGAGGGAGAAUAACAAAUGGUUAGAGAUGAGGGUAGAGGUGAAUGUAGUGAGUGCUGAACUGAAGUGGAAGUGCAGCUUGGUGGGAAAUAUCAGUAUGGGUGGGGUGGAAUAAGAUGUGGGAGAUAGGAGUAGCUCAAGAAUGAUGGAUCAAGAAAUAGGGGGAAAUUGGUGGGGCGAGGGGAGUACAGGAGUACAUAAGAAUGGUUAGAGUGAGUGGGGUAUAGUGGCAGAUACUAGAGGGCAUUGAGAAUGAUAGCAGGUAUUAGAAGUGUUAUGGUGAAGUAUGGUAGAGGAGAGAGAGUGUAAACUGGAUGCACAGAAAGGAGGUGAUCAGUGAAAAUAGUGUGGGAAAAGGUGAUAAUGAGAAUGAGGCAUAGAAGUGGUAUUAAUAUGUGCUGAAACUGGAUAGAUGUUAGGGGAAGGUGGGGGGGUAAUGGAGAUGGGAUGUGGGAUAUGUUUGAUGAGACAAAAUGGGUGUAGGGGCAAAGCCCAGCAUGCACAAGCAUAAACAAAGGGUUUUUAGAAUCUCCUUUUUGCUGUGAUGGACAGAUCUUCUUGAAAAGCAAUUUGCCUCUUGUAUUUCCAUAGGUACAGCAUAUGGGAUUUAUACCUAUCCUUUUCUGCAUAUUGAGCAAGGUUAUUUCCCUGAAGAUACUAGAGUUCUAUUUUCUUUUCUGCUAAAACUUUAGUCCUUACUACGUUCACCUUGAGGCUCUUUGAUACUGGGUUUAACUUCCAGUUUGAAUUUCGUUUCUUAUUCCUCUGUAGACUCAGCUAUUAGAACUAGAUUAUUAGCACACAAGAUUUCCCAUGGGCAUCCAGUUUUAAACUUCUCUGUGUUAGCCUGUAGAACUAUGAUUUAUUUGAGGAGACUGAUGUUUGAACCUUGAUGGAUUCCUACACUCAUGCCAAAUUCCUCAUUGAAAUUGAUGCUUACUCUCACUUUACCUACUGUAUCUUUGUACAUAGCUUGUCCACACUCACAAGCCAUAUGACUACACCUAGUUUCCUUGAUGACUACCAAAUUACUGAGCAUGACACACUGUCAACUGUCUCCUCCAAGAUAAUGAAUGCUAGGAAUAGUGGUUUACAGUUAGCCAAGUAGUUCUGCAGUUGACUUACUAGGAAUAUUGCAUCUGUAGUACACUUUCUGGGCACAAAGCCAAACUGCUUCUCAUUUUGCACUAACUUUCUGCAUGGUCUUCAUAACCUGGUCCAGUAAUUUGGUUCUUUCAUAAUUAACAAAAGGGUGGAGAGCAGCAGUGUAAUGAGCCUGUAGAUAAAUGAAAGUGGUGCAAUGAUGUGUGGGAUGAAAGAGAGAGAGAGAGAGAUGUAGUGACAGAUGGUGGUCAUACACAGGGAUGGAUAUAGUGAGUAGCAAAGUUAGGGGCGUUUAUGGUAAAUAUUAAAGCAGAUAAAAGAAAGUAUUAUGGAUGAAGUAUGGUGGUCAUAUGAUGUAGUUCAAGGUGAAGGGAAAGAUAACUGGUGGCACAAAAAGAAAUGAUCAGGCAAAAAUAAAGUGAGAAGGGGUGAUGUUGAAAUGAAGGAUGGAUAUCAAAAAGAAGUGGUUCCUAAGACAGGGAUAACUGGUGGCACAAAAGAUGGCACAUGUGCUGUUUGUUUCUGAUAUAUCUACAGCAGCUGAAUAAUACUGUAAUUAGAAGAGUAAUGGAAGGAUGAGCAUUAGGAAGAAGUUAGAAGAGGUGGGGAAGGCCUGACAAGAACAGAUUGAGUGUGGGAGCAAGGCCCAGUGUGUAUUUAGACAAACAUGGUGCUUUUAGGACCUUAAUUUUGUUGUGGAGGAUGGGUCUUCUUGAGCACAGCAAAGCACCAACUCUUUCUUCUUUCAUUUCCUCUGUGAGUCCUAACAUCCUGAGUUUGAUCUUCACUAUUCUGUCUCAUGUCUUUCUGGAUCUAUAUCUUUCAUAGUACCAUCCAUAUUCCUAUCAUUUCUUUAUGUAGCAUAGCUAUUCAUAUACAAGCAUCACACAAUCUGCCUUUCACUCUGAGGUAGAAACCUCUACUUAUCUACAGAGAUUAUAGUGUUCUGAACUUUUUCCAGCUUAUUCCUAUCCUAGCAAUUAUACUUUCAGAGCAUCUUCCUCCACUGUUAAUUAAGUAAUCUUAGUAACAAAACCUAUCUACUAUCUCCAGGUCUCCUCCUGAUCAUUUGAUAAAAUCUACUUUUUGUAUGUUCUUACUGUUUAUUGCACCUGUGCAUCUGCCACUUUGUGAUCCCAUGUACCUCAGGUGUGUCCAUAAUUUGCAUUGGGUACACAGUAUAGCAUUUCUAUGUACAGUAAUCCCUUGACUAUUGCAGGUGUUAUGUUCCGAAACCUCCCACAGAAAUAAUUAAAAUCUAAAAAAAUUAUAAAUACCUAUCGGUCGCAGAAACCCAAAUAUACCAAGUGCUUGAUAGGUGAACCAUGGUAUGGUGAAGGAUUACUGUACCUCUUUUCUACAUAAUGAACAGGACCAUUUUCCUGAAGGGAGCAGAGUCCUGUCUAUUUGCUUUCACACAUAGAAUUUUAUAAUUAUGCUACAGAUUCAGCUAUAACAAUGACAUCAUCAUUGUAAAUAAGCUUCCAUGGGUAACUAGUCUUAAACUCUUUAGUUAUGACCAGUUACUGAAUGUCUAUGACAAAUAGGAGGGGACUAAGAACUGACCCCUAGUGAACUCCUAUCUGCACACUAAAUUCAUUGCUAACUCUUGUAAUAUGACUUGUAUGGCUCUCACAAUCCAUUUGUUAACUCAUAGCUUCUGCAGCAAUCACCAGAUCAGAGAUCAAAGAAUUCUUUUGAAGGCUUUCUUCAGGUCGAAGAAUGCUAAGUGCAGCAGUUUCGGCUAAAUACGUCUACAUUACUAGAAAGAAUACAUCGUUUAGUACUUCUCUGAUAUAAACUCGUAAUCAUCCAAGCUAAUUCACCACUUAAUCAAUUGAGCUCUAACUGUUUCCAUAACUUUUGUGACCUGGUCCAGCAAAUUGGUACCCCCCUUUAAGGCAUCUCCAUUACCUUUGUGACAGUCGAAUAUAAUGUUAUGCUAAUUGUUGGGUAUGAUUCUUUCCUGCACAACCUGAUUAGCUAUACAGGGGACUAGGCCAUAUCCUACUCUGCCAGAUAUUUUAAGCAUCAUAUAAGUAAUUUCCAAUGGACCAAAGGCUUUCCUUGCUGUCAUAUCCUUAAUUGCUUUAUCCUACUGCUGUCAGACCAGUUAUUCUGGCUGGUCUCUCUGACAGGUUCACAUUAGGAAAAGUAUCUUUCUCUCAUGCAUUCUCCACAUUUAAUAGCCUUUCAUAGUAGUACUUCCGAUCCGUUGCGGAUCCGUGGAACAAGCUGCCAGACGAGAUGGUGAAGAUGCCGACGACCGCUUUGUUCAAAGCCUCCCUGGACCUCAAGUGGCCUGAACUCUUUACAUGAACACCACCCUGUACUUAACUCCAUGUCCCCCUACAUGGCCUUGCUAUUUGCUUUUGAGCCAAAUUAACUAACUAACUAACUUCCCUGUCUCUUUCUUUUCAGAAUCACUAAUUACAAGUGCCCCAUUAUCCCUCUCUACACACUUCUAUUUACAAAAUCUUGAUUUUCUGAUACUCACACUGUAGAACAUUAGCAAACUUCUUUCUGCAGCUCCUUUUGCUAAGUAAACCUAUUGCCUAGCUUCUUUUCUCUGCUGCCCCCAUUUUUCUUGUCUUUUCAGUCCUGUCACUUCUCUUAUAUAGCAUUGUCUACCUUAUUGUUCUACUUUGACAUUAUCCCUGGUCUGUCUGGAACUUUGCACCAAACUAGAGAUGUUGUCUAAUCUUCAAUAGUUUGUCUCAUAGGAAGUUCCAGUUGCUUUUUGUGCUCUUCACCUCUAUAUCUCUUUCCUUCUUGUCAAAUACUUUGACUAGUAUUUCUCUAAAUGUCUAACUGUCCAAUGGAUCUUUAAGCUUCUAUAUCCUUUUCCAAACUUGUUUGCAUAUCUGAGUACUUGUAUUUCUAAGCUACUAGCCAUUAAUGUUGGGUUGUACAUUCUUUACAAGAGAAGGACUUCAUAUUUACUAGUAUCUGUCUAUUCCAUUCUCUGGUGAGAAUGUAGUUAAACUGACUUGUAUACAUACCAAAUCAGUGGGUGAUCAGAUGGUUGGAGUCCUUUCGUGUGCUGCUCAACAUGUCCAUUGAAGUCAUCCGCCACAAUGAAGUCAUUGUCAUUUAUCAUUGAGGUAAGCUGCAAAAGGGCCUCAUAAAAGUGUCCCCUCUGUUCACAUGCGAGUCCAGUAUUUCCAAGAAAAGGGAUUAUUGGUAGCACAAGGGAAAGGAUUAUGUGUAGCUCUGCUUCCAUAUAAUUACAAAAGUUGAGAAAUAAUGUGAUUAGUGGGUGAGGGAAGUGUUAUGCAAAUGAGUUGCUGGAAAGGCUUGACAGGUAGAGAUUGGGUGCAGGGGCAUAGACAUUAGCAAUAUGCUUUUAGGGCUUCCUUUCUGCUGAGCUCUUUUCAAGCAUGGCAAAUAGUCAUUCACCCCAGUUAUUUGUCAUCUUGCUUUGUGAGGCUCAACAACCUGAGGUCAGACUUCACAACUUCUUUGGUCUAUCUCUUCCAUGAGUCUCAUCCUUAUUUAGUGAUUGGUACUUCUCUAUGUAGCUGUCCUCAUCCAUAUGUAUCUUUUGCACAUUACAUCUGAUGCCUCAUGUGCUCAAUUUUUUUCUCAAUACAUUUGUACUUUGUUGUACAAGUGCACUAAUAUUGGCACAUCCAGCAGAGCAUGUUUCUAGUUUUUGCAUGUUCUCUGCAUUCAUAGCUCAUGUUUCACCACCAUGUAAUAUUACUGUUCAUACACAAGCAUCCUAUAAUCUGCCUUUCACUUUGAUAGAUGCCUUUUGUUACUAACUGACAUAAGGAUUCAUAGAAGAAGUUUCGUGGGAAUAUUGAAUUCACAAGCGGUCCCUGACAUCCCGCAUGCAUAUCCCAAGUGAUGGGACGCCCUGUUUGCUGCGGAGUCUCCACAGACGCAGGGACAGAAUGACCUCGAAGCCGCCGGUUGCUGAUCAGACGCCUCUUGGAAUUUUCACCAGAGCCCUGUUGGCCAGGCUGCUGUCCUAAUACCGCUCGGUGCCAGACCAAUCUGCUUUGGGUGGCCCUACCAAGAACCGAAGUUCCCGACGGCAUAGCUCUGACACUGCCUGUUUACACCACCCUACUGCUUUUGACUCGGUGGAUUGGGAAGCCCUCUGGUGUAUUAUGCAGGCGGACGGUAUCCCUGUGAAGCUGCUAAACCUCAUACAGGGCUACUAUCGUUCAGUGAGGGCUCAUGUAAGGGUCUAUGGCGGGGAGACGGAGUUGCUUGAUGUCACUACCGAUGUUCGACAGGGUUGUGUGCUUUCGCCAACCCUAUUCAUUUAUGCCAUCGAUUACAGUCUCAACACUGUGCUUCGGGACUACUCGGGCGUAGAGGCUAGGAGAGAAGUCGCAGUGACGGACCUGGCCAUCGCAGAUGACAUCGCGCUCUUGGGCUCUAACCGAGCAGAUGUCCAAGAUGCUCUCGAAAGGGUGCAUGCGGCAGCGGCAACUGUUGGUCUUCGGGUCAAUGCUUGCAAAACCAAAGUGAUGACAUCUCUGGUCACAGCAGAUGAAUGGCGGCCAAUCGUUCUUGAGGGCAUGGAGUUUGAGUAUGUGGAGUCCUUCAUCUACCUGGGUUCAACGGUGGUUCUAACGGGCCAGGGCGCAGCCGAGGUCGAGCAUUGCAUAGGUGUUGCCAGAUUCGCAUUCGUGUGCCUCAAGUGGUGCCUGUGGGACAGAAGAGAGAUCUCAGUGACCAAAGGGUGAAUCUAGCAGGCCGUCGUUCAUACUGUCCUCCUCUAUGGUUGUGAAACAUGGCCUAUGAGGGUAGCCAAUCAGCGAAGGCUGGAGGUGUUCGACAAUGACUGUCUCCGCUGCAUUCUUCGCUGCCAACGCAUUGAUUGGGUUCCUACAGCCGGUCUUCGUCAUCGCCUGAAUCUCCAGCCCAUCCCUUCAGUGCUUCUACAACAGCAAUUAAGGUGGUUCGGUCAUGCGGCCUGGCAUCCAGAGGGUGAACUGAUUCAUGAUGUCCUCCACUCACCUCCACUUCCCAGCUGGCAUAAACACAUGGGCGGGUAGCUGAAGACCUGGGCAACGACGAUAAAGGAGGACCUCUCCGAACUCUCAGUUCCGCAGGUGGUCAGUCUGCGCAGAUGGAACUGCGAAUGGUUCGCUAUCUCCAGUGACCUCGCACAGGACUGUCAAGCAUGGGCCGCCAUGGUUCGUGAUGCUUUUAGGACCAGAGAAGAAGCUGGCUCAACCCGCUCUGGGUGAGCUCCAUCACAAGUACAAGUAAAUUGACAUAAGAAUUCUCUGAACUUUCUCCUACUGGUUCAUAUUCUAGUAACUGUACUUUUAGACCACCCUCCUCCACUACUAAUUUGGUUACCUUGAUAACAGAAAUUGUCUAUUACCUCUAGGGAUCUUCCUGGGAAUUUGAGAAAAUCUGUUUCCUCUGUGUUCUUAGUGUUAAUUGUUCCUGCACAUCUGCCACAGAGUCUACUUUCUCUAUUAAUCUUUCAGUGAUUCCAUUGCAUUUCCACUGGAUGGAAUUACUAUAUACACCAUUUCUGCAUACAAAACAGAGCCAUUUUCCUAAAGGGAUGAGCAUAGUGUCUAUUUUACUUCUUACUAGAACUUUGGUCUUUUUAAGUUAACUUUAAAGUACCUUGAUUCCAGGUAUUGCCACUAUACAUGGAAUUUCUUUUGUAAUUUUGCUAUAGAUUUAGCUAUAAGACACAGUAAUCAUCAUAAAGGAGUUCCGUGAGCAAAUGUUCUUAGACCCCUCUGUUAUGGCCUGGAGAAGAAUGAUAAAUAGGAGGGGACUGAGAACCAAGCCUAGGUGAACUAUCUGCUCACUAAAUUUGUCACUGUACUUAUUAACUCUCACUUUACUAACAGCUCUCACUAGCCAUUCAUGUACUUCUAUGGCAAACUUCAGAUCAGAGAGCGAGGGAUCCUGUUAAAAGCGUUCUCUGGGUUGAUGAAAGCCAAGUGGUUUACUUUUGGCUAAAUACUUCUGCUGUUGCCUUUGUAGGCUUUCUGUUUAAAAGAGAGAAUUAAUGGUACUUCUUCCUGGCACAAAAUCGAACUGUAUCUCAUCUAGUCUAACCCUCUUCCUAAGUAGCUAUUCUAUCACUAUAAAUUUCAUGAUCUUGUCCAGCAAUUUGAAAGUGUUGUAAUUACUUCUCUCUAAGGCAUCACCUUUACCUAUUUAACAAAUAAAUGAUGCUGUUACACCAGUCAUUGGGUAUGAUACCUACCUGUACAACUUAAGUAGCUACAUAAGUGACUAGGCCAUAUCCCUCCACCAGAUAUUUUAAGCAUUUUAGUGAUGGGCCAGGGGCUUUCCCUGUCUUCAUAUCUUUAAUUUGUUUUUAUCUUUCAUACUACUCUCAAUGAAAAUGGUCUGUCCCUCUGUCAGGUUCACAUUUGGAAAGAUUGCUUUCUCUCUUGCAUCUCUACAUUUAGCAACCUUUCAUAAUAGUACUUCUAUGAUUUUUUUCAGAACCAUUAAGUGCAAGUGUACCAUUAUCUAUCCACACACACUUCUGUCUGUCUAACUGACCGUCUGUCCGUCCGUCCGUGUGUGUGUGUUUGCUGGGACUGGAUUUUUAUCUUUAGAUUUGAAAGCUUUGUAGGCUUUCUUUUUAAAACAAUGUUCUCUAGAUAUGGUGUAUGUUUAUAUGAAACCUACUUGGUUUGAUAGAAUAUAUAAAAAUAGUAUCUCAAAUCUAAGAUAUGUUUGUGACCAUCAUUAAAAUUCAAAGCCUUUUGUAUUAUGUCUGAAAAAGCCUUUUUGAUUACUGAGUUAAAGAGGUGUUUUCUAACUGAUUAGUGUUUCACCAGUGCUGUGUCCAUGGUUUACAUAUUUAACAUUCACUAACCUAGAUACAGAAUGGCUAUUAAGAGAAAGUACUUAUCACCACUACUUCAAAUUGUAUAACUAAUGCAUACUUUGGUCAAAUGCAUUACUUGAAUUAAGUUUCAUUGAACUAAAUCUUUGAUAGACUAGACUCCUGUACUUGUGUAAUGUAGAAGGGUCUGGUCUUGAUGGAGAGAGAGAGAGAAAUGACUCGAACACACACUUCCUUGAAAUCUUACAUAAUUUUUUCUAUCGCACAACAUCUUCCAAUAUUAGCAGUAAAGACAAAUAAGAAGGAAACUUACGAUUGAAAUAGCCUCCUAAAAUCCAGAUGACUUUGCCUCAGAAUAGUUUCCAGAUAAAUCAAAUUCCUAUAUUAUAUCUAAAUAUAUUGAAAAAUAGUAAACAAAGAAGCCUGUUAUAUAUAUAUAUAUAUAUAUAUAUAUACAUGUAUGUGUGUGUCUGUGUUUGUCCCCCUAGCAUUGCUUGACAACCAAUGCUGGUGUGCUUACGUCCCCGUCACUUAGCGGUUCGGCAAAAAAGACCAAUAGAAUAAGUACUGGGCUUACAAAGAAUAAGUCCCGGGGUCGAUUUGCUCGACUAAAGGCGGUGCUCCAGCAUGGCCGCAGUCAAAUGACUGAAACAAGUAAAAGAGUAAAGAUGCAGGAGUGGCUGUGUGGUAAGUAGCUUGCUUACCAAACCACAUGGUUCUGAGUUCAGUCCCACUGUGUGGCAUCUUAGGCAAGUGUCUUCUACUAUAGCCUCAGGUUGACCAAAGCCUUGUAAGUGGAUUUGGUUGAGGGAAACUGAAAGAAGCCUGUCGAACAUAUACAUACAUACAUAUAUAUAUAUAUAUAUAUAUAUAUAUAUGUUUGUGUGCCUGUAUUUGUUCCCUCCCACCAUCGCUUGACAACCGAUGGUGUGUUUACAUCCUCGUAGCUUAGCAGUUUGGUAAAAGAGACCUAUAGAAUUAGUACCAGACUUACAACGAAUAAGUCCUGGGGUUGAUUUGUUCGACUAAAGGUGGUGCUGAAACGAGUAAAAGAGUAAAGCAUAUGUCAUAAUGAAACCCUUCUAAUCAUGCUGGUAUAGAAGAAUAAUUGUUAAAAGGAUGAUAAUCUCUCUCUUUAUAAAAAUUUUUGUCUGUCUAUUCCCUAUGCAUUCUCAAAUGGCUCCCCGAAACCAAAUCAAAUUUUACAAGGUAAUAGUAUUACACCCCGUGAGUGUGAACUUGUAAUUUUUAUUUUCAUUUGUAUUAAAACAAUAUAAAAUUUUAUCUCAAAUAAUCUUUCUAUAGUAAAGGAUAUUUUAUACAACAGCAACAUCACAUUUUGUAUAUAAGUGUGUCUGUGAAAGCGUGUGUGUUUGCGCAUUCAUUACAUAUGACAUAGUGAAGGAUAUUUUAUACCACCACCACCACCACGGCACAUUUUGUAUAUCAGUGUGUAUGUGUCUGAGUGAGUGUGUGUGUGUCUGAGUGUGUGUGUGUGUGUUUGUGUGUUCAAUAUGUACGAGAUAGUAAAGGACAUUUUAUACCACCAUGACCGCCAUGACACAUUUUGUAUAUGAGUAUGUGUGUUUGUGUGUUCAUUACGUAUGACAUAGUAAAGGACAUUUUACAUGAUGAUGACACAUUUCCUAUAUGAGUGUGUAUGUAUCUCUAAGUGUGUGUUUGCCUGUUCAUUACAUAAAUGUAUGUUUGUGUGUGUCUGUCUUGGUAUAUAUGUGAGUGUGCCAGUGUAUAUGUGAGUGUGUCAGUGUAUAUGUCAGUUACACUGAUGUAAACUGGCCAUGUGAAAGAGCUAUACUGGCUCCAACUAAUGAAAUGGUUGAUAAACUCAAUCAUGAACUUCUUCAGAGGUUAACAGAUACAUCAGAAAUGACUUUUCCAUCAAUUCACACAACAGUUGAUCAAGAUCAGGCUGUUCAAUACUCUGCUGAAUUUCUUAACACAUUUAAACCCACUGGAAUGCCACCGCAUAACUUGACACUAAAGCUGGAUGUUCCCAUUAUGUUGCAUAGAAUCUUGACCCACCUUACCUGUGUAAUGGAACUCACUUAAUUGUUACUUCUAUGAAGUAGAAUUGGAAAAGUUUCAGGUUUGGAAGCAAAACUUGGAAUCAAAAGGCCUUGAAGUUAACUUAGAUAAGACUAAAGUUGUUGUUAAUGAGAAAGGAGAUAAGACUCUCAUUCCAGCUGGCAAAUUGCCCUGUUUAAUAUGUAGGAAAGGAGUGGGAUGUAAUUCCAUUUGUUGCACUAAGUGUAACCUAUGGAUGCAUAAGAGAUGCAAUGGAACCGUGGGAAGAUUGUCAGAUAAGUUUGCUUUUGUGUGUGGCAGAUGUGCAGGAACAUUAAGUACUAAGAGCACGAGGGACUUAAACUCUCUCAAAUGCCCAGGAGGUUCUCUUGAGGUAGUAGAUAGUUUCUGCUAUUUAGGUAACCAAAUUAGUAAUGGUGAUGGAUGCUCUGAAAGUAAUGUUUCUAGAAUAAGAAUAAGGUGGAGGAAGUACAGAAAACUACUAUCUCUGUUGACAGCAAAAGGACUCACUCUUAGAGUGAAAAAUAGAUUGUAUGAUGCUUGUGUGAGAACAGCUGUAUUACAUGGUAGUGAAAUAUGGGUUCUGACUGUGGAGGAAAUGCUUAAGCUGGAGAGGAAUGAAAGUAGCAUGCUCCAUAGGAUUUGCAACAUCAGUGUGCAUGACUGACAAAGCACAACUGUGUUGAGAGAAAAAUUAGGCAUAAGAGGGAUUAAAUGUGGUAUGCAGGAGAGGAGACUGCGUUGGUUUAGACAUGUGAUGCGUAUGUGUGAAGACAGCUGUAUAAAAAAGUGCCUGUCUCUGAAAGUAGAUGGUACGUGUGAAAGAGGACAACCCAGGAAGACAUGGGAUGAAGUGGUGAGGACUGAUCUUCGGAUGUUGGGGCUCAUGGAGGAAAUGAUAGUGGACUGAGAUGUUUGGAGAUAUGUGAUCCUAGAGAAGACCUGUCCAUGAAACUGAGUGCUAGAAGGGUUGUAUCCCACCCACAUGUAACAACACUCUUCACCCACUCUACCCUAAGAAAUUAAACUACAACUCUUCUAACUGCAUUUUUCUUUUCUUCACAUUUCUGCCUCAUACAUUAUGAUAGUUUUCCAAUCCCCUUUCUUGCCCUCACUGCAGUGCUCACUGUAUCACUGCUCCCAUCACACCCCACCACCCACAGCCACUUCCAAUUUUUCUAACCAGGUUCUACGCUCAUAUUCUUGUUACUUGUGAGUAUACCCUAGCACUACACUAUCUCUCUUCUGCUCUCUCUUACACUUUUGCUGUUUCCUACUAUUUCUCUUUCUCUUUGGUCACUCUCUCUCUCCUUCUCUUGUUUUCCCUCUGACUAGGUAACCAAGUAUCAUCUUUACACCAGCAUACUUGUUUCUGGCCUCUUUCUGUACCUCUCUCUCACUGUGUAACCAUGUACCUCCUGUAUAGCAAGACUAGCAGUAUCGCCCGGCGUUGCUCAGGUUUGUAAGGGAAAUAACUAUAAAGCAUCUUUAGAGAGUUAUAGCCAAAAAAUAGCAAAAAAAUGGAAAAAAAAAUGAUGGUAAAUUUUUUUUUGAGAGUAAAAAAAGGUUGAGUUGCGUCCCCUAGACAGUCUGUGGUUUGUUUUUUUUAUUCUCGACCCCAUGUCGAAUUUAUCGAUUUUUUUCAGAACUGGGGGAACUUUUCAAAGUUUUCGCUGCGUUAGUUUUGAAUUAUGACAUUGGGCUAUGUGUGUGUCAAGUUUCAUCAGAAUCGGUUGAAAGCUGUGGUCAGAGUGAGGGUACGAGAAAACAGACACACAGAAACACGCACAGACAAACUGCCGUUUAUAUAUAGAGAGAUACUUAUUUCUACCUCUCUAUUUCUCUGUUACACUGUAAUCUUUCAGCAUUUGAUAUUGGAUCACCUCCUCUAAUUAUCUGUCUGUUGUGGCAAGACACCUGCUUCUGUCUCUUUGUCACACUCUAAUUUUCAUCCUCUGACACAAAUGCCCUGCCCCUCUCAUAAUCCCUUGUCUUGUAAGUUACUUUGUUACCCUGCCAGUGCUGGUGCCAUGUUGAAAGCAUCUAGUUCACACUGUAAUGUGGUUGGCAUCUGGAAGAGCAUCCAUCUGUAAAAAUCUUGCCAAAACUAUCUUCGCCUGUGCUAGUGCCAUGUAAAAAGCACUGAGUCCACUCUACAGAGUGGUUGGUGUUAGAAAGGGUAUCCAGCCAUCAAAUUCCUGCCAAAACAGACACAGUAGCCUUGGGUAGAUUUUCUACCUGACUGGCUCCUGUCCAUGCAUGCAUGGAAGAUGGACACUAAAUGAUGAUGAUGAUAUCCCAUGUCCAAGAGGCAACUAUCAUAACAGGUAGUUACAAAGAAAAUGUCUUUAUUCCAAAAUUUCCUUUCAUACCUACAGACGUUCCAUUUGAAUUUAAGAGGCUUUAGCUUCCAGUCAAAUUAAGUUUUGGUAUUUCAAUUAACAAAUCUCAGGGUCAAUUCCUCAAGGCAGUAGGACUUCAUCUCUCUACUACAUGCUUCUCUCACGGCCAACUCUAUGUUGGUUGAUCUGGAGUUGGAAGCAGCAACAAUUUAUUCAUUUGGACACCAAUAAAAAUGUGCACAAUGAAUAUUGAUUACACUGAGGUGCUUCAAGAUUGGCAGAUUUUCAGUUCUAAAUUCUACUAUCAUUACAAUUUGGAUAUUUUAAAAUAAAAUAUAGAUAUUUUGAAAUAAUUAUGUGAAAAAAAUAUAUCUUCAUAUCUAUUGUUUACUAAUCUGAAUAAGAACAUCAGUAACCUGGGCAAGACUGGGUGAUUCAGCUAGUAUAUAAUCUGUGAAAAUGACAUGAUCAUUUGAUUGCCUAAAAUGGAACAUUUCUGCACUUGAUAUGUCAGAAUGGGAAAAAUCAGUUAUUACUAAUCUCCAUUAUAUAAACCCAUCAAAAUGGGUUUAUAUAAUAGUAUUUUCCUAAUAACUCUGUAUCUUAUUAUUAAUCUAAGUGUGUAUCUCUAAAAUUAAAUAAAUAAAGCCAUUUGUCUCAUUUGGCUACACUUUCUAAAUUUAUUAUUAGAUACUUUCUGCUUCAGUUUACGUAAGUUUUUAUAGUUGUAAACUUAUAAACUUAUAAAAAUUUAAAGUAACUUUUUAUACCGUCUUACAAUUUGAAUUGGCUACAGUAAAAGAAUGAUAACCAAACAAUAACCAAACAAAGUAACCAAACAAUAUAACUCCAGAUUUAAUUAUAUGUAUGUGUGUUUGUGUGAAUUUGUAAAUAAAGGAUGCAUUUGAUAUAGGUUUAUUGUUCUAAUAAUAACUAAGAAAUAACAGCUAUACCUGUUUAGUUUAAUAGCUGUUGUUAGCUCUGAACAGACUAUAGCAUAUGAGCAGAGAAUCAAACACUUGAAUACCUUGUCUGUUUUAUCGAGUUGAGUUUUCAGGUCAGGGCCAUCUGGUGUGAAGUUAUUUGAUCGUCCUCAGGUAUUAGAACAUUAGAACUUUGAGACAGCAGAGAAAAAUUAAAAGCACAAGUUAGCUUUAAAACAGGCAACUCAGGUGAUAGGGUGUUGUCAUUUUAUUUUACAAUUUAUUCCUUCCUAAUUACAUUAUUACUUAUUCCUCAGACUUCUAUAAUUGUUCUAUCUGACCUUGUUAUAAAUUUGCACAAAUCUGAGGAUAAAUGCAAUGAUAAAAAUAUUAAAACUUAGGAAGGAACCCAGUGAAAAUGUAUAGGAAGAUAUUUGGGUUAACUGUUAUAAAAAUAUAACUAUUUGUCAUAAAUGUACUGACAUGUAAGGCAGAUGUAAUAGAAAAUAACCAAGAAAAAUAUUUAUGAGGUUAGUCUUAAAUAAUCUAUAUAUAUAAAACUGUAGUUGUGUGAGUGUCUGUCCCCUUCGAUUUAGAUUCCUAACUACUCCCACAUUUUGCGGUGCAGUUUAACCAAAUUCGAGUAUCUUAUAGUCGUGAUUCAUAUCGAGCCCGUCUGAGUAUUAGUGCGCGUCUACGAUGAGUCUACGAUUUAAAAAAUAAUUUAACAUCAUUUUUUAUUCCAUUUUAAUGCAUAAUUUUUCGUGUGUCGAUGGCGGCGGAGUUGGCGUCCAUGGUCACACCUGCACCUGUUUGCUUCUCCCCCUUCUUCCCUCCCUCGUGAAGCUGUGGGGAAGGGAGUGUAAGGAAAUCAACGUCGUAAAGCGUUGUCAAGGAGACCAGCGUUCUUUUAGAACAACGACUUCAUGGCUUGAAGACACCAAAACAGAAAUGGCUAAGAAAGCCUGAAUUGGCAUCUAUAAGGGAAGUAACUCUCUAAAAAUGCUUAUAUAGUUAUUUCCCUUACAAACCCGAGCAACGCCGGGCGAUACUGCUAGUUAUAUCUAUAAUCAAAAAUUUGUUAUUGUUAGACGUUUUCACAUUUGAAUUUCUUUUCAUUACAAGUGAUGAUUAUUUCAUUGAAACAACUUGAUAAAUAAAACAAUAACAAAAAAUGGCUUACAUUUAAUGCCAUCAAAACUGUCUCUCUGUCUCUUUAUCUCACUCCAUAUUUCCCUUUGCAUAAACAUUUAGUUCAUAUAAUAUAGUUUCAUUAUGGAUUGUUGUUCACUUUGAUCUUGUGUCUAGUUGAGUUUCAAAUUGCUUGAGGUCAUCUAAACUCCUUUAAAAGAGUUCCUACUUUAGACAACUCAACUGAUAAAUAUUAAAAUGUAGAUGUUUACUAUUCAAAACUGUUAACACCAAAGGUUAUUUCUAAUUGGUAAUAUCAUCUAAGUCACCUUAACAGUCUCUCUAUUGGUAAAAGGUGGUAAACCUGGUAACAUGUUGGUGUACCUGAUUAUGUUGGUACCACUGGAGAUGUUUUGUGGUAAUGCUGGAUAAAUACAAUAAUUUAUAUAGAAUUGUGUUAGUUUUAUUUUGUUGCAUGUUACUUCUGUAAUUUUCUUGUGAAGGAGUAUAAUUCAUUGAUUUUUAAUAUUUUACUAUUAGUAUUUCUGAAAAUCUUGAUGCUAAAGGAAUAUAUCUGCAGAUAUGAAAUAUCAUUUUCUUAAUUUCUUUUUUUUUUUUUUUUUUGUUUCUUUUAGGUAAAAUUGAUGUUGUUUGGAAUUUUCAACACUUCUGCUGAAAUUUGACAAUUUGUUCUUCUGCUGUCAUUAGAGACUUGGUAGCAAUAUUAUAAUGGCAUCUGAUUAUCCAGAAUGUUCCAAAGCUACAGAAUUAGAGGAAAUUCAAGAAAAAGAAUGGAUUGAACUACCAGAAUCUUCACCUGAAGAUCAACUACAAGAUAAUGGGGGUGAUCAACAUUUUGUGACAUUGACUGGAACAGUUGCUCGUGGCUACCAAGCUGGUCAAGUGGUAGAUGUCCAGCUACAAAUUUCUCGAGAUGAGUUACGUAAACUAACACUUGAGAGAGGGACCAAAGAGGAAAAGCUCAAGUACAAAUCUUCACCAUGUUCUUGGGGACUGCAUUCAGGAUUGCAUAUUGUAUUUCUGAGCAUCAUCUGUAUACCUAUUGCUUGGCUUGUUUCUUUAGGAUAUUCCUUCUAUAUUGGCUGCAAUACCUGGUAUAAUAUUUAUUUGUAUUUUUCUGAAGAAAAGACAAUCUGGCAUAAGAUUUCUAUUUGUCCUGUUCUCAUAUUAACAUUUCCUUUCACUGUUGGUUUGUCAUCUCUCAUCAUAAGUUUAUAUGCCCCAAUUAUUCAAAUUUCAUGGAAUUUCUAUAAAUGGCUGCAAGAAUUUCAAGAUUAUGAAAAAGGCUUUUAUGGCUGGUUCUGUAACUGGAUUGGCCUGCACCAGUGUUGUCCUUAUGAAGUGGUGAUACUUGACUGCCCUGAAUCAAUAAGAGAGACAAAAUUACCUUCAAGUUAAUUACUUAAAAUGUGCUUGCCAGAUGCUACUCAAACACCCACCGUUUGUUCUGGACUUAUAUUAGCUGACCUAUAACUACUGGUUCAAUUUGUAAUUUGAUGGAAUUUUGAUUUAGAUAUAUCGCUGGUGUAUUAAUCAAUACAUACAUAUGUAUAUGGUGUGUGUGUGUGUAUUUGUGUAUGUAUAUAUAUAUAUAUAUAUGGGUAUGUACAAAUAUGUUUUUAUGUCUCGAUGUGUGUGUAUAUAUAUGUAUAUGUGCCUGUAUGUAUAUUUUUGUGUAUACAUUUAUAUAUAUAUAUAUAGACUGAGAGCUUCGAAUGUCCUGUCCUGUGGUUCUUGUGUCGUCUUCUAGGUGUUUCACGUUCUUGUCCCAGUUUGUAUAUAUUUUUUACUUUUUACAUAUAUAAUGCCGGCUCUGUAUCCACACUUUUGUCCUUAUACAUAAGUAUAUAUUCUCUAACAUUGGUACGACUCUUGAUCUGUCUCUUUCUCUCUCUCUCUCCUCCUCUCUUAUUCCCCUUCUUUCUUUCUUUCUCUCUUCAUCCGUCCCCCCUCCUACGCUUCUCUGCCUCUCAUACCUUACACUCCUCUCGAUCUGUCUCUUUCUUCUCCUCCCCUGUUCACCUUCUCUCUCUCCUCAUCUGUCCCUUUCUCCUCUCUUUUGUCCUCACGUGACCAGCUAGCCACUGCUGCUUUGCCUUUUUGCAUCCAGCAGUCGUAGCAACACGUAUUUGUUUGUUUCCCGUGGCCAUAAGGUACUCCUCUACAAGCCAGCCCCAAACUCAACUCGUCCUGUCGAAAGACCCUUGUCCUACGUCCUGGUUUUGUUUUUAUCCUUACCAUUAUUGUUUUUACGUUUUUGUAUUCUUAUUCGUGCUUUCCUUAUUGUUUUCACGUACUUUUGUAUUUUUAUUCGUGUACAUCGUCCGUUUUCCGUCCUUGUGUUGUAUACAUUCGAAGCUUUCUUCCAAGGGAUCUAAUGCACUUGGCUUAAAUUUCCCUUGGUGGCUGCCCAGGUCGGAGCAAUCUCAAGAUUAAUCAGCCGAAAUUGCGAAGAUGAUCCGGUUCUUGACUGAUGACUGAGAGCUUCGAAAGUCCCGUCCUGUGGUUCUUGUGUCGUCUUCUAGGUGUUUCACGUUCUUGUCCCCGUUUGUAUAUAUUUUUUACUUUUUACAUAUAUAUAUAUAUAUAUAUAUGCAUGCAUGUGUGUGUGGGGUGUGUGAAUGUUAUGAACAGUGUAAUCCAGUGCAAAACUAUGCGUAAAUGUUUGAACUAUGUAAAAUGUAUUUCUUUUUUGUUUAAAUAUAAUUUAUAACUAAGAUCAGUGAGCUCACAGAAUUGUUAGUGUGGUAGCCAAAAUGCUUAGCAGCAUGUCAUCCAUCUUUAUGUUCUGAGUUCAAAUUCCACUGAGGUCAAACUUUGCCUUUCAUCCUUUCAAGGUAGAUAAAAAUAAGUACCUGUUGAGGACUGGGGUUAAUGAAAUUGAUUUACUCCUUUACAUGAUUUGAGCCAAAAUUUGAAACCAAUAUAACUUAUAACUUGUAUAUUAUGUGUGUGUGUGUGUGUGUGUGUAUGCAUAUGUAAGAUUAUGAGUGUGUAUGCAUAUGUGUAUAUAUGCAUAUAUAUACAUAUAUGUAUGUGUAUGCAUAUCUAUAUAUAUGCACAUACAUGUGCACAUGUAUAUAUAUAUAUAUCUGGAUAUAUCUAUACAUACAUAAGCACAUGUAAAUAUAUAUGUGUAUUGAAAGAUAUAUAUAUACACACACUGCAGCACACAAUUAUAUACACAUAUAUAGGUAUAUACUUAUAUGUAUGUGUAUAUAUAUAUAUAUAUAUAUGUAUACAUACGUACAUGUGUACAUGUGUAUAUAUAGAUACAUAUGUAUAUAUAUGUGUGGGUGUGUAUAGAAAUAUGUAUAUCUAUACGAUAGAUGAUGAUGAUGUAUACAUUAUAUAUAUAUAUAUGUAUAUAUCAAACUAUAAUAAUUUAUUUUCACUGCUAUUAUGUCCCACCUGUCACUUUAUUUUUCUGCACAUUCUAAUGAUCUAUCAAAAUUUUCCAGUGAAUAUCUUUCAUAAUUCAUUUAGUAAUUCAUUUGUAAAUGUUUAGUUUAUCUUGUUUUAGUUGUUAAGGCGAAGUGGUUCAGUAAAAUUUGCAAGUGCUGAGAUUGUGAAUUGUUUAUCUUGUAAGUUGUUAUUGUUGCAAGUGAAACAAAAUUAUGGAUUUCAAUUUGAUGUAAAAUUUAUUUGAACUGAAUACCAAAUUAUGUUUGAACAAUACAAAAAAUUUUGUUAGGAUAGAUUUUUGCUAACUCUUGCCUAUAGAUUAUUUUUAUGAUGAUAAGAGAAAUCAUUUCUAUAGUUAGAGCAUAUCUGUUAUCCUAUUAAUUCUAGGCAAAUACACAUAUUCACUGAUGAAAGGUGAAGUAGGUUUGUAACUGUAAUUUUGUUUUGACUCUUUACCUAUAGUCUGUUAGUGAAAUAGAGUUAAUUCUUUCAUUAAGUAUAAUAAUAUGCAUUUAUUUUAUAAGUGUAGGUUAUUUUAGGUACACAAUAUCAAGUCAGUAGGUUGAAUUUAUUAGGAAAUAUGCUGAUUAACUAGGAAGUAGAAGUCAAAAAAGUAAUAAGGUUUUAAAGUUUUCAAAAUUAAUUAAUUGUAAUCUUUAUUAUAAGAAAUGUAGAACUUGACAGACAUUUGCUUGUGCAGAGGUACUUUAAAUUGUUCCCCACAAUUUCAAUGAAUUACAAUGUGUAAAUUUUUACUGCCAUUUGUUGUAAAAUUAACAUUAUAAAUAAUAGCUGAAACUAUGACA